rnacentral:tRNA from 1 species
AUUACUUUGGCAGAUUAGUGCUUUAAAUUUAGAAUUUAAAUAUAUAUAAGUAUUUAUAUAAGUAAUA